rnacentral:rRNA from 1 species
AGUGAACGCUGGCGGUAGGCCUAACACAUGCAAGUCGAACGGCAGCACAGUAAGAGCUUGCUCUUACGGGUGGCGAGUGGCGGACGGGUGAGGAAUACAUCGGAAUCUACUUUUUCGUGGGGGAUAACGUAGGGAAACUUACGCUAAUACCGCAUACGACCUACGGGUGAAAGCAGGGGAUCUUCGGACCUUGCGCGAUUGAAUGAUCCGAUGUCGGAUUAGCUAGUUGGCGGGGUAAAGGCCCACCAAGGCGACGAUCCGUAGCUGGUCUGAGAGGAUGAUCAGCCACACUGGAAAUGAGACGCGGUCCAAACUCCUACGGGAGGCAGCAGUGGGGAAUAUUGGACAAUGGGCGCAAGACUGAUCCAGCCAUACCGCGUAGGUGAAGAAGGCCUUCGGGUUGUAAAGCCCUUUUGUUGGGAAAGAAAAGAAGCAGGUUAAUACCCCGCUGUUCUGACGGUACCAAAAGAAUAAGCACCGGCUAACUUCGUG